CAGAGGAUAGUUUAUGUAAAAUAAUAAUUUUGGAGAUUAUUGAAGGGGUUUCUCUUCUCUGA
rnacentral:tRNA from 2 species